GACGAACGCUGGCGGCGUGCUUAACACAUGCAAGUCGAACGGAAAGGCCCUGCUUUUGUGGGGUGCUCGAGUGGCGAACGGGUGAGUAACACGUGAGUAACCUGCCCUUGACUUUGGGAUAACUUCAGGAAACUGGGGCUAAUACCGGAUAGGAGCUCCUGCUGCAUGGUGGGGGUUGGAAAGUUUCGGCGGUUGGGGAUGGACUCGCGGCUUAUCAGCUUGUUGGUGGGGUAGUGGCUUACCAAGGCUUUGACGGGUAGCCGGCCUGAGAGGGUGACCGGCGACAUUGGGCCUACGAUACGGCCCAGACUCCUACGGGACGCAGCAGUGGGGAAUAUUGCACAAUGGGCGGAAGCCUGAUGCAGCAACGCCGCGUGCGGGAUGACGGCCUUCGGGUUGUAAACCGCUUUCGCCUGUGACGAAGCGUGAGUGACGGUAAUGGGUAAAGAAGCACCGGCUAACUACGUG
rnacentral:rRNA from 1 species